CUAUUAGUAUAGAAGAUACUAUCUUGACAGAUCUUCUGGGACUCCAUAAAGUAGAAGAAAUCCAUGGUAUAGUUCACAGAGCUGUGCUCAAGUUGGGUACUUGAAACGAACAAGCUGAAUGUGGGCUGCCAUGGAAUUUUCUUAUGAAGAGCAUCACAGGAACAGAGCUGCUUUAUUUGUCAGCUGAUCAGCUGCUUGGGACUCUAGAUUACAAUCAAAUUUCUGUUAUCUGCAAAUAACUUCCCCCUGUCAAGAAUGAAGUCUUCUUAUGCCUUGAUUUCUAAAACUGGGCUGUUUGGAAUAUCGGAGGGGAGUUUCCACAUAGCCAAACAUACCUUCUCAUUUCUCUGGUUGUAUUUCACUCUCUUAGACUUCUUGGUCUGAACCAGUACGAAGAACAUGUUCUGUUUCAUUUCCCGGAAAGGAAAUGUGUAAGUUCUACUUUCUGUAUUUCUUAUAGAUUGCACCAUCAUUCUGAGGAGAUGAUAUAAAUCCUGUGCUUUCUGUUCCCGGAAAUUUAGCUAUGUUGCAUUUGCUUGUAUCAUCGGUCUUCAGGAGUUAACCUGGAAAAUUCCAAUGAGAUCAAAUCUAUUCUACUUCUAGUGCUAACUGAUCAACUUUCAGACCUGCAGUGUUUAGUGAUGAUAAGGCUGAAAGAUAAAUGAUCUUUGCUAUGUUGUUAGCAAUUGGGAUUGAUUGUUAUAUGAGAUAUUUUUGAUGUUUUUGUAGCUAUCCUUCUGUUAUCCUUUCCUAAAUAAUAAUCUACAUUUUCUGACAUUUUGAGACCAAUUUGUUUUAAAGCACAAGCACUUUGCUUUUCAGAAGUUUAUACUGUUAUCUACAUGCUAGGUGAUAUUCCUGGCUUCAGUGAUGACCAUCUAUGGCUGUUAGUUCUCUGAGUACUACAAUUAAUGGCAUGCC